UACGGAGGGUGCGAGCGUUGUCCGGAAUCACUGGGCGUAAAGGGCGCGUAGGCGGCCCUGGCAGUCGGUGGUGAAAGCCCGUGGCUCAACUGAGGAAGUGCACCCGAAACUGGCGAGCUUGAGUACGAAAGAGGAUCGCGGAAUUCCCGGUGUAGAGGUGAAAUUCGUAGAUAUCAGGAGGAACACCUGCGGUGUAGACGGCUUUCUGGACCAUUGCUGACGCUGAGACACGAAAGCGUGGGUAGCAAACAGG
rnacentral:rRNA from 1 species